UACGGGGGGGGUAAGCGUUGUUCGGAAUUACUGGGCGUAAAGGGCUCGUAGGCGGCCAACUAAGUCGGACGUGAAAUCCCUCAGCUUAACUGGGGAACUGCGUCCGAUACUGGGUGGCUUGAAUCCGGGAGAGGGAUGCGGAAUUCCAGGUGUAGCGGUGAAAUGCGUAGAUAUCUGGAGGAACACCGGUGGCGAAGGCGGCAUCCUGGACCGGCAUUGACGCUGAGGCGCGAAAGCCAGGGGAGCAAACGGG
rnacentral:rRNA from 1 species